AUACGGAGGAUGCGAGCGUUAUCCGGAUUUAUUGGGUUUAAAGGGUGCGUAGGCGGGCUGUUAAGCGUGAGGUGAAAGCUCGGGGCUCAACCCCGGAACUGCCUCGCGAACUGGCGGUCUUGAAUGUCCGUGCCGUGGGAGGAAUGUGUGGUGUAGCGGUGAAAUGCAUAGAGAUCACACAGAACACCGAUUGCGAAGGCAUCUCACGAACGGAUGAUUGACGCUGAGGCACGAAAGCGUGGGGAUCAAACAGGAUUAGAUACCCUGGUAGUCCACGCAGUAAACGAUGAUGACUUGUUGUCGGCGACAGACAGUCGGUGACAAAGCGAAAGCGAUAAGUCAUCCACCUGGGGAGUACGAUCGCAAGGUUGAAACUCAAAUGAAUUGACGGGG
rnacentral:rRNA from 1 species